CUGUAAGGGAAGGAAACAAACUGUCCCAGAGACGUUAGAGGACAAUAGUUGGAUCAGUCUGUCUCCUACACGUGCUUCUACCGCAGAGGGGACAUUAUUGUGGGAACUUGGAGACCGGUGCUUCGUAAAGAAGAAGUUAAAUUCACCACAGUUACCGUGACUACACGUCUUUCUCUUUAACGCUAGACUUUACAUGCCACUAUGAAAUACAUCCUGGUUACCGGUGGGGUCAUAUCUGGUAUUGGCAAGGGCAUCAUCGCCAGCAGCGUGGGAACAAUCCUCAAGUCCUGCGGCCUUCACGUCACAGCCAUCAAAAUCGACCCGUAUAUCAAUAUCGACGCUGGUACCUUUUCACCAUAUGAACACGGUGAAGUUUUUGUUCUCGACGACGGUGGGGAGGUGGAUCUGGACUUGGGGAACUAUGAGCGUUUCCUGGACAUCCGUCUUACCAAAGACAACAACCUCACCACUGGAAAGAUCUACCAGUCGGUCAUCAACAAGGAGAGGAGGGGAGACUACCUGGGCAAGACUGUACAGGUGGUACCCCACAUCACAGAUGCCAUCCAGGAGUGGGUGAUGAGGCAGGCCAGGAUCUCAGUAGACGACGAUGGUGUGGAGCCUGAAGUUUGUGUCAUAGAGCUGGGAGGCACUGUGGGGGACAUUGAGAGCAUGCCCUUCAUCGAGGCCUUCAGACAGUUCCAGUUCAAGGUGAAGAAGGAGAACUUCUGCAACAUCCAUGUCAGCCUGGUGCCACAGCCCAAAACCACAGGAGAGCAGAAAACCAAACCGACCCAGAACAGUGUCCGAGAGCUCAGAGGGCUGGGCUUGUCUCCAGAUUUGAUUAUGUGCCGCGGUUCAUCGCCCCUAGAAACAUCUGUCAAGGAGAAGAUCUCCAUGUUUUGUCAUGUGGAGCCCACACAGGUGAUCUGUGUCCAUGACGUCUCCUCGGUCUACAGAGUGCCCCUGCUGCUGGAGGACCAGGGUGUUGUGAGCUACUUCUGUCAGCGGCUGAGCCUGCCCAUCGAGGUGAGGCCCAGGAAGAUGCUCUCAAAGUGGAAGGUGAUGGCUGACAGAUCUGCUCGUCUCUUGGAACAUGUCUCCAUAGCCCUGGUGGGGAAAUACACUAAGUUAGCUGACUCCUACACCUCCGUUAUCAAGGCCUUAGAGCACUCAGCCCUCGCCAUUAAUCACAAACUAGAGGUCAAGUACAUAGACUCUGCAGACCUGGAGGCUACCACUCUGCAAGAUGAGCCUGUGAAAUAUCACGAGGCCUGGCAAAAACUCUGCAGUUCUCAUGGCGUGUUGGUACCAGGAGGUUUUGGUGUGCGAGGGACAGAAGGCAAGAUGCUCGCUAUUAACUGGGCGAGGAAACAGAAUAAGCCGUUCCUGGGAGUAUGUUUGGGCAUGCAGCUGGCAGUGUGCGAGUUCGCCCGCAAUGUUCUCGGAUGGGAAGAUGCCAACUCUACAGAAUUUGAUCCAGAAUCCACUCACCCUGUGGUGAUUGAAAUGCCAGAGCACAACCCAGGGCAGCUGGGUGGGACUAUGAGGUUGGGGAAGAGGCGGACCCUUUUCAAAUCCAGCACCAGUGUACUGAGAAAACUGUACGGAGAUGUGGAAUAUGUUGACGAGAGGCACAGGCACAGAUUUGAGGUGAACCCUGAGCUGAAGCACCACUUUGAAGAAAAGGGUUUUCAGUUUGUCGGCCAGGAUGUGGAAGGAGAGCGAAUGGAGGUCAUUGAAUUGGACGAUCAUUGUUACUUCGUAGGAGUGCAGUAUCAUCCAGAGUUCACCUCGAGACCCAUCAAACCUUCUCCUCCAUACUUUGGUCUCCUGCUGGCCGCUGCAGGAAAACUCCAGGGCUUCCUGGCCAAGAACUGUCGCCUCUCUCCGCGGGACACGUACAGCGGCAGCAGCUCCCCUGAAGAAGACAUCCCUGAGCUCAAGUUCCCAUCAUUGUCCUGAGACUAAAGCACCAUGUAGCUGUUGUGUUUGUGAGUCACUCCUGCAGAUGAAUGCAAGGCCGGUCUGCUCUUAACUGAUGCCGCAAAACCAUUUUUUACAUUCAUAUGGGUACAAUAUGUUGCUACGGUACCUAUUUAUACUCUAGAUAUAUUAAGUCUUUUCUUCUUAUUCUUGAUUGUGUAAAGGGGAAGGGACGUCUUGCUGUUGCAAUUUUCACAUCUUACUCAGUGAAAAAAGGCUUUUUUAUAUAUAUAUUUAUUUUUUGUUGGAAAGACUAACCGAGACGUUUCUGGUGAGUUUUUUAAUAUAAUUUCUGUCGAGUUGAAUGAAGUGUUACACGAUGCUCCGCGACUAGAACAGCUGAUCCCCCCCAGGCGAAACUAUGGCAGCGAGGAGGGGGAAGUGGGGUGUAAUACCAGCUUACAUAACUCAUUCAGGGGUACUACACAAAAGUGAGUAAGCUACAUGCCACUCUGGUUUCAAAUAAUCUUGCAAUAUUAUAUUGAGUGAACAUGCGAAACGGUACGAGUAUGAGAUUAAACUGGAUCACUAAGGUGGUGACUGUGGGGUAUAUAUAUAUAUGAUUUUCUUUAUUUUGUCGUAAUAAGGUGAAUUGUUUAGGCGUCAGCCAAUAUCACAAGGACAAUGGGUUUUAAUUUCUUCAUGAAAGUUGUAAUGGAUUAUGCACUUUGGGGUGUUGGUACUUAAGUUUUUAUGCCUUAAACUUGAACUCACCAGUUCUGCUUGCAUGACUUUUAUGUUUGAGACCUUUUGCCUGCUGACAUCAACAAACAGUUUUUAACUCCAUUACCUUUUACUGCCAUAUCUGACCCAGAAGAUCCUAAAAUGAAUUAUACUGAUGCACAGUCCUCUGACAAUCCGGCAAGCUGAAAGUGACCCUUCAGUGAGUCAGCAGUAUUAACUGAAAAAGAAAGCUCGGCAUAUGAAAACUGAUGUCUUAAAAACUGAAAGGCAAAACUUGCAACUAGCAUCAAGCUUUCCAUGUUACAUUAUCAUUUGGAGUCCUGAAUAGUUCAAUCAUUGAUGUCUCUGCCUUCAUUUCUCUGUUUGUGAUCUAAAUGUAUGGGGGGAAAAAAUGCAGUAUUUUUAUAUUUAUGAAGUUCAGAUGCAUGUGUGAUGCGAUAUGUGUGUUUAUUCUGAAUAAAUAUAUUUUUAUUCCUCUUUA